GCCUGGCUGGCUCAGUUGGGGGAGCAUGUGACUCUUGAUCUCAGGGUCAUGAGUUCAAACCCCAUGUAUGGCA
rnacentral:tRNA from 1 species